rnacentral:rRNA from 1 species
CCUACGGGUGGCAGCAGUGAGGAAUAUUGGUCAAUGGGCGCGAGCCUGAACCAGCCAAGUAGCGUGAAGGAUGACUGCCCUACGGGUUGUAAACUUCUUUUGCCGGGGGGCAACGGGCGUCACGUGUGGCGCCACUAAGAGUACCCGGAGAAAAAGCAUCGUCUAACUCCGGCCCAGCAGCCGCGGUAAUACGGAGGAGGCAAGCGUUAUCGGGAUUUAUGGGGUUAACGGGGUGCGUAGGCGGAUCGUAAAGUCAGUGGUCAAAUUGAGGGGCUCAACCCCUUCCCGCCAUUGAAACUGGCGCUCUUGAGUGGAAGAGAAGUAUGCGGAAUGCGUGGUGUAGCGGUGAAAUGCAUAGAUAUCACGCAGAACCCCGAUUGCGAAGGCAGCAUGCCGGCUUCCGACUGACGCUGAAGCACGAAAGCGUGGGGAUCGAACAGGAUUAGAUACCCGGGUAGUC